rnacentral:rRNA from 1 species
UGGGGAAUAUUGGACAAUGGGCGAAAGCCUGAUCCAGCCAUGCCGCGUGUGUGAAGAAGGUCUUCGGAUUGUAAAGCACUUUAAGUUGGGAGGAAGGGCAUUAACCUAAUACGUUAGUGUUUUGACGUUACCGACAGAAUAAGCACCGGCUAACUCUGUGCCAGCAGCCGCGGUAAUACAGAGGGUGCAAGCGUUAAUCGGAAUUACUGGGCGUAAAGCGCGCGUAGGUGGUAUGUUAAGUUGGAUGUGAAAGCCCCGGGCUCAACCUGGGAACUGCAUCCAAAACUGGCAAGCUAGAGUACGGUAGAGGGUGGUGGAAUUUCCUGUGUAGCGGUGAAAUGCGUAGAUAUAGGAAGGAACACCAGUGGCGAAGGCGACCACCUGGACUGAUACUGACACUGAGGUGCGAAAGCGUGGGGAGCAAACA